rnacentral:rRNA from 1 species
AAUCAACGCUGGCGGCGUGCCUCAGACAUGCAAGUCGAACGCGAAAGUCCCCUUCGGGGGAUGAGUAGAGUGGCGUCCGGGUGAGUAACACGUAGGUAAUCUACCUCUGGGUGGGGAAUAACCCCGAGAAAUCGGGGCUAAUACCGCAUAAUGCAGCGGCACCACAUGGUGACAGUUGUUAAAGCGGGGGAUCGCAAGACCUCGCGCCUAAAGAGGAGCCUGCGGCGGAUUAGCUAGUUGGUAGGGUAACGGCCUACCAAGGCAACGAUCCGUAGCCGGCCUGAGAGGGCGGUCGGCCACACUGACACUGAAAUACGGGUCAGACUCCUACGGGAGGCAGCA